rnacentral:rRNA from 1 species
UGCGCAGGCGGUUAUGUAAGACAGAUGUGAAAUCCCCGGGCUCAACCUGGGACCUGCAUUUGUGACUGCAUAGCUAGAGUACGGCAGAGGGGGAUGGAAUUCCGCGUGUAGCAGUGAAAUGCGUAGAUAUGCGGAGGAACACCGAUGGCGAAGGCAAUCCCCUGGGCCUGUACUGACGCUCAUGCACGAAAGCGUGGGGAGCAAACA